GAUGAACGCUGGCGGCGUGCCUAUUACAUGCAAGUCGAGCGAACGGACGAGAAGCUUGCUUCUCUGAUGUUAGCGGCGGACGGGUGAGUAACACGUGGAUAACCUACCUAUAAGACUGGGAUAACUUCGGGAAGCCGGAGCUAAUACCGGAUAAUAUUUUGAACCGCAUGGUUCAAAAGUGAAAGACGGUCUUGCUGUCACUUAUAGAUGGAUCCGCGCUGCAUUAGCUAGUUGGUAAGGUAACGGCUUACCAAGGCAACGAUGCAUAGCCGACCUGAGAGGGUGAUCGGCCACACUGGAACUGAGACACGGUCCAGACUCCUACGGGAGGCAGCAGUAGGGAAUCUUCCGCAAUGGGCGAAAGCCUGACGGAGCAACGCCGCGUGAGUGAUGAAGGUCUUCGGAUCGUAAAACUCUGUUAUUAGGGAAGAACAUAUGUGUAAGUAACUGUGCACAUCUUGACGGUACCUAAUCAGAAAGCCACGGCUAACUACGUG
rnacentral:rRNA from 1 species